AAGACUAUACUUUCAGGGAUCAUUUCUAUAGUUCGUUACUAUGUACAUGACAUUUUUCAAUGAGGAAAUUCUAGCUGAAGAUACAUGCCAGUACUCAGAA
ensembl:snoRNA U3 Small nucleolar RNA U3